CAGCACAAGAGGGUGGCAGCAGCACAGCCCAGCAGCUCGGAGUCAGGGAGCACCAGGGAGUGCCACAGCUCCUCAGUGUCUGCACUUCCAAGAGCACCAGCACCUGAGCCCAUGGUGCACACUGCUGUGCAGUCCAUUGAAGGAAUAUUGAAGGAAAUGUGCAGCCCCCUGUCCCCUCUCCUGCCAUCCCUUCAGUCACCCGAGAGAACAGAGACUUCCAAAUUUCCUGUGCAGGCAAAG